CUCAAAUAUUUGUAAAUAGUUCUUUCUUUGCUUCAGUAUGUCUAGCAUGCCUAAGUCAUGGCAAACCGAAGAUCUUUAAAAGGGGUGCCAAGUGAGAACUUUCACAAAUGGCUGGAUGGUGUAUCAAAGACGUUUCUGCUUCUCUCCAAUGACCAAAGAAAUAAGACACUGGACCAACUGAUAGACUGCAGUGGAUCUCACCAGCUGAAUCACCUGUCAACUCGGUUACCUCAGCUUCUGUACAGAGACUAUAUCAAUCUUCUACCUCAGGAGGUUACAUGCCACAUCCUGCAGUAUCUGCCAGGACACACUCUACUGGAGUGCUGCACCGUCAGCCGAACCUGGAACACCGUCAUCCAGGGGGCAGCACGGGUAUGGUGGAUGAAGGCGAUACAGAGAGGGGCUGGCGAUGUUGUGUACUAUGGUGGAACAACCAGGAAGUAUAUGAUGCUGUAUCAACAGGUGGAGAAGCUCCUCAACAAAUGUUGCCGGGGAAGCUGUUUUGUAGACCAGUCUCUGGAGGGGCACACCAACAGAGUGAUGGCCGUGUGUUACAGGGAUGGAAAAGUUGCAACAGGGUCAGAUGACCAGUCAGUGCGAGUGUGGGAUGCUCAUACAGGCAGAUUGCUGCAUAAGAUUCACACCCACACAGUGUCGGAUCUUAAACUUAACGCAAAACACAUGUAUACUGCUUCCUUUGAUGGCACUGUGGCAUGCUGGGAGCUGUCGACUGGUGAAUCGCAUUACUGGUUAGUUGGUCACACUUCAGCAGUGUUCAGCAUCGAUGUUCAUGAAUCAGGUUUAGUAAUCAGUGGGUCUUCGGACAAGACGGUGAAAAUCUGGCAUCGGCAACACGAGGAACCAUACCUUCUUACCUCCUUAGAAGAUUACCACUCUGAAUGGGUCACAAAAGUCCAGUUCCUGAAUACAGCAGAGUUGUCAAGUGAUUUACUGUUUGCCAGCAUUGAUAAGCAUAUCUGCCAUGUUUGGUGCACUGAUGCUAAAGGGCAUUGUGAGAAGAUGUUUUCAACGAAGAAAACAACUGGCGUACAGAUUACCUCCUUCUCCCACAGCAAGCCAGGUCGGUUCUACCUGUGUACAUGGAAGGAGAGGGAGCUUUGUAACGAGAUAUUGACGUACACAUUUACCAGCGACAGCCUCACACUGGUGUCCACCAUGUCCCUGGGUGGGGACAUGCCCCUCAGGUGUCAGCUGCUGGGGGCAGGGGACAGGUUUGCUGCCCUCACCAGCUCCAGUGAGAUUAACCAGCUGUUUCUGUUCAGCUUUACUCAGUGUUGCUGUGUGGCAAAAAUCAACAUUCCUCUCUGUCGGUGAGUAGUGUUGGUGUGCUGUUCAUAACACAGUCCCUAGUAGUCCAUGCUGAUCAUCCGGGUUUACCCGUAAUGGUGCUACCUUGACCCUCGGUGAGCAGUCUUGGCUUGAUGGAUUCAGUGGGACACCACCAGAGGGCAC
rnacentral:misc_RNA from 1 species